rnacentral:rRNA from 1 species
GUGGGGAAUAUUGGACAAUGGGCGAAAGCCUGAUCCAGCAAUGCCGCGUGAGUGAUGAAGGCACUAGGGUUGUAAAGCUCUUUUACCAGGGAUGAUAAUGACAGUACCUGGAGAAUAAGCUCCGGCUAACUCCGUGCCAGCAGCCGCGGUAAUACGGAGGGAGCUAGCGUUGUUCGGAAUUACUGGUCGUAAAGCGCGCGUAGGCGGUUUUUUAAGUCAGAGGUGAAAGCCCGGGGCUCAACCCCGGAAGUGCCUUUGAAACUGGAAAUCUUGAAUCUUGGAGAGUUCAGUGGAAUUCCGAGUGUAGAGGUGAAAUUCGUAGAUAUUCGGAAGAACACCAGUGGCGAAGGCGACUGACUGGACAAGUAUUGACGCUGAGGUGCGAAAGCGUGGGGAGCAAACAGGAUUAGAAACCCCUGUAGUCC